rnacentral:rRNA from 1 species
GACGAACGCUGGCGGCGUGCUUAACACAUGCAAGUCGAACGGAAAGGCCCUGCUUUUGUGGGGUGCUCGAGUGGCGAACGGGUGAGUAACACGUGAGUAACCUGCCCUUGACUUUGGGAUAACUUCAGGAAACUGGGGCUAAUACCGGAUAGGUGCUCCGGCUGCAUGGUGGGGGUUGGAAAGUUUCGGCGGGUGGGGAUGGACUCGCGGCUUAUCAGCUUGUUGGUGGGGUAGCGGCUUACCAAGGCUUUGACGGGUAGCCGGCCUGAGAGGGUGACCGGCCACAUUGGGACUGAGAUACGGCCCAGACUCCUACGGGAGGCAGCAGUGGGGAAUAUUGCACAAUGGGCGGAAGCCUGAUGCAGCAGCGCCGCGUGCGGGAUGACGGCCUUCGGGUUGUAAACCGCUUUCGCCUGUGACGAAGCGUGAGUGACGGUAAUGGGUAAAGAAGCACCGGCUAACUACGUG